rnacentral:rRNA from 1 species
UACAGAGGUCUCAAGCGUUGUUCGGAUUCAUUGGGCGUAAAGGGUGCGUAGGUGGUCAUGUAAGUCUAAUGUGAAAUCUCGGGGCUCAACCCCGAAAUUGCAUCGGAUACUGCGUGACUCGAGGAUUGUAGAGGAGAUCGGAAUUCACGGUGUAGCAGUGAAAUGCGUAGAUAUCGUGAGGAAGACCAGUUGCGAAGGCGGAUCUCUGGGCAAUUCCUGACACUGAGGCACGAAGGCCAGGGGAGCAAACGGG